GGGCUCGUAGCUCAGUGGAUAGAGCGCCGGACUACGAAUCCGUAGGCCGCAGGUUCAAAUCCUGCCGGGCCCACCA
rnacentral:tRNA from 2 species